AUUGAACGCUGGCGGCAGGCUUAACACAUGCAAGUCGAGCGGAGAUGAGGUGCUUGCACCUUAUCUUAGCGGCGGACGGGUGAGUAAUGCUUAGGAAUCUGCCUAUUAGUGGGGGACAACAUUCCGAAAGGAAUGCUAAUACCGCAUACGUCCUACGGGAGAAAGCAGGGGAUCUUCGGACCUUGCGCUAAUAGAUGAGCCUAAGUCGGAUUAGCUAGUUGGUGGGGUAAAGGCCUACCAAGGCGACGAUCUGUAGCGGGUCUGAGAGGAUGAUCCGGCACACUGGGACUGAGACACGGCCCAGACUCCUACGGGAGGCCGCAGUGGGGAAUAUUGGACAAUGGGGGGAACCCUGAUCCAGCCAUGCCGGGUGUGUGAAGAAGGCCUUAUGGUUGUAAAGCACUUUAAGCGAGGAGGAGGCUACUGAGACUAAUACUCUUGGAUAGUGGACGUUACUCGCAGAAUAAGCACCGGCUAACUCUGUGCCAGCAGCCGCCGUAACAC
rnacentral:rRNA from 1 species